UUAUUUUAAAAAAAUAUAUAUAUAAAAUAUAAAUAUUUAUGAAUUUAGUGGGUUAAGUUUAGUGAAGAGUUUAAGUAUUAAUAAAGAAAGGUUAUAUAUCUAUGUAGUUAUUUGGAAAAAGGAAAAGAGUAGUCUUCAUGUUAAAAAGGAAAGGGGGAAAAUAAAAGAAUAAGAAAAGAAAAGAAAAGAAGCAAACUACGUUCAUAUCAUUUCUUCCAUCUUAAUUCUCACCAUCAACCUCUCACAAUCUUCAUCACACAAAUAACACUACCACCUUCAACCUCUCUAUCUUUCCGGCGCCUCAACUACAACACAACAAUCUCUAUCUAGCGGCAAGCGGCACCGUGAGGAAUAGGUUCAACAAAAAAAAGUCGGAUUUUGGUGCGUUUGAGGUUUGGGGUGCGUUUUAAGGGUUGAUUUCACAAGCUUUCUUCACCAUUAAUCUUCCAUAGUAGUGGAUAAGUUAAGUUCUUAAUUUAAUUUUAGUUUUCUCAAAGUUUAUGAAGUUAGGGUUUUUAUAAUUGAAAUUGAAUUGGGGGUUUUUGAUUGUGAAUGUUGGGUGUAGUUUGAUUUAGUGAGAUUGUUUCAUGAUAAUAAUGAGUUUAUGAACAAGACUUGAAAUUCGUAUAAAUCACAGGUCAGUUUCGUAAUUCAUGUUUUUCAACAGUUUCCGGGUGUUUUUCGCAAAAAUACUAUUUCACAAAAGUUGUUCAUAUCGAAAUUCUACUCAAGUUAGGCUCAAGAAACGUUUGGUUCGGAGUUCGAAUGAGGAAGUUAUGCCCAUUUUUAUUUUCUGCUGAAAUUAAUAAAUCUAGUUUCGAGUGUUUUAAGUUUGAAUGUUUUUCCUAAUGGAUUUUAAGUAUCUAAAUAUAUAUUAUGAAGCUUAGGUGUUGGUUUUAUAUAAACUAAGAGAGAUUUUAGUAUUGUUAGUAUGAGUUAAUUAUGUCAUUUGAAGUGAGGCUCAUAAUUUAUAAAACUAGAGUUAAGCAAAGCUCAUUAACUAGUUAAGCCAAGUCUAUUAUUACCUAAUGAGUACAUAUAUGUUUAUAUUGUAGAUUCCGAUUUCAUAGAGGAGCCGUAUUGACUGCUUGACAUAGUUGAUUUGUUGUAUUUUAAAAGGUACAUGAAGAUUUGCAAGUGGGGUGUGGGCUGAGAGCAACGUUCCACUAGCUUAGUUGAAAUAUAGUAGUUCUAUUUCCGUUGCACUAUAUAUAUAUAUAUAUAUAUAUAUAUAUAAUAUAUCAUCAUUUUGGAACUUAAGGUUGUAAAUAUUAAUUUACUUAAACCUUUACACGUUUGGAUUGUAAUAGUUUAAUUUAGUUGUUGCUUUAAUAUUAAUUCAGUUAGGUAGUUAUCCUUAACGGUUAUUCCUACAAUAACCGUGGAAUAACACUUUUGGAUUUCGAGUACU